rnacentral:rRNA from 1 species
GUAGUCCUGGCUGUAAACGAUGUCGACUUGGAGGUUGUGCCCUUGAGGCGUGGCUUCCGGAGCUAACGCGUUAAGUCGACCGCCUGGGGAGUACGGCCGCAAGGUUAAAACUCAAAUGAAUUGACGGGGGCCCGCACAAGCGGUGGAGCAUGUGGUUUAAUUCGAUGCAACGCGAAGAACCUUACCUGGUCUUGACAUCCACGGAAGUUUUCAGAGAUGAGAAUGUGCCUUCGGGAACCGUGAGACAGGUGCUGCAUGGCUGUCGUCAGCUCGUGUUGUGAAAUGUUGGGUUAAGUCCCGCAACGAGCGCAACCCUUAUCCCUUGUUGCCAGCGGUCCGGCCGGGAACUCAAAGGAGACUGCCAGUGAUAAACUGGAGGAAGGUGGGGAUGACGUCAAGUCAUCAUGGCCCUUACGACCAGGGCUACACACGUGCUACAAUGGCGCAUACAAAGAGAAGCGACCUCGCGAGAGCAAGCGGACCUCAUAAAGUGCGUCGUAGUCCGGAUUGGAGUCUGCAACUCGACUCCAUGAAGUCGGAAUCGCUAGUAAUCGUGGAUCAGAAUGCCACGGUGAAUACGUUCCCGGGCCUUGUACACACCGCCCGUCACACCAUGGGAGUGGGUUGCAAAAGAAGUAGGUAGCUUAACCUUCGGGAGGGCGCUUACCACUUUGUGAUUCAUGACUGGGGUGAAGUCGUAACAAGGUAACCGUAGGGGAACCUGCGGCUGGAUCACCUCC